rnacentral:sRNA from 1 species
ACUAAUAAUACUACUAAUAUUGUGUGUGUGUGUGUAUGUGUUGUACUAUAUUUACAGGUUGUUUUUCAUGUGAUGGCUGCUCGACCGGUGGAGGGGGGACGAACACGAACAUCAGAGGCUGGCAUUCAAGGAGUGAUGCAGCAGAUCAGUGGCGACAUCCAGCGGGACAUCCAAGGAGUACAGGUAAGUAGUACAAGUGGAUUCAUCAGGUGAGUAUAUAUUUAGAGUAGCAAUUGUGUGUCCAACUCUAAUUCUGUUGUUUACUUGCAGCAUCAACUGGAAUUUUAAAAGUGAGACUGGCAGUGGAACCAGCCAUGUAAUCAGCAACAGCACUGGCACUUGGGUGGCCAGCACCAGCUGCUGCAUUGACUGCAGUUGCAUCCACAACUGCAAUGGAUAUGGACAUCGACAUCUUCAUCAGCGGAGGCGGAGGCGGCGUCCAGAGUGAAGUUGCCAGCCCGGAGACUGGUAUGAGGCGCCAGCAGUGCAAUAUGCACCACCAACACCAGCAUCGGCAACAGGAUCAUCGGCGUCAUCAACAUCAGUGGAAAUGGCGCAGACAUCAAGUGGCUUCAGCAUCAUUAGCUCUGGUGCGAGCAAAUGCAAAAUGUCGUGUCAUGGGCAAAUGCAUGCAGCCUGUCAUCUAGCUGCAAGCCCAUACACAUUGAAUGGCCAAUUGUCGCCCACAAUAAGACGACAAGUAUCGAGAGUCUCUGUCUGCACCCACAAUGACAGCCUGCCGGUCAUCAAUAUGGACACGUAGCAGGGAGUGCAGAGCAAUUACUAUUCGAUUGAUCAGUCAUCAUCUUCGCCGCAGAAGCAGCAUACUGGACACCAUCGACGCCAACAACAACAACCAGGAUGUGCAGCAACAGGCAACAGCGAGUCAUCUUUGUGCGUAUAUUGAUGUAUUGUGACCAAAAGCAGUAAUCACGUCGAUUUAAAGCUAAUGAACAAUUGUGUUUGUA